UCAGAAAAUACAGAGAGGUAGUAGGUAGCCUAAUCUAUUUGACUACUUGCACAAGACCCGAUCUCAGUUUUGUAGUAAGUAAACUGUCACAGUACUUUACUGAGUCGACGGAAAAGCAAUGGGCUACUGUAAAACAUGUACUGAGAUAUCUGAGAGGCACAAUUGAGAAAGAGUUGUGUUACAAGAAAUGUGACGACGAGAAACUGGCGUUACAAGCGUACAGUGAUGCAGAUUGGGCGGCUGAUGUAACCGACAGACGUAAUACAACCGGUUAUUGUGUAAGCCUAAACAAAAAUGGCCCUUUGAUUUCAUGGAAAACCAAAAAGCAGCCCACCGUUGCACUGUCAACUUGUGAGGCUGAGUAUAUGGCAUUAGCCGCAACACUACAAGAGUGUAUGUACCUAGUACAACUACUAGAAGGUAUUGAUGGACAUCAGUACCCAACACCCAAGGUUUAUGAGGAUAACCAGGGUACAAUUGCGUUAGCAAAGAAUCCUGUAUGUAGACAGAGGUGUAAGCAUGUGGACAUAAAAUAUCACUUUGUGAGGUCCACUGUGUAUCAUGGCAAAAUAAGUCUGGAGUAUUGCCCAACAGACCAGAUGGUAGCAGAUGUGAUGACAAAACCUGCAACAAAAUUUAAGUUGAUGGAGUUUGCAAAGUUUAUGUUUGGAGAGUAACCAUGUAUGUAAAAGUCUACAUGAUGUAAGGUAGAAAACCUUAGGAUGCUUUAUUUUGAGUUAAGAUAACAAUGCGAGAGCAAGUGGGGGUGUUGACAUAUAUGAAAAAUAUGCUCUCAAUUGUAAAGAAGUUAAUCUUAAUGUUGUAUUGUUACUCAGACAAACUUGAUGCGGGUAGUGAAUAACUGACAAUGAUAAUAGCCAAUAAUAACUGACAAUGAUAACAGCCAAUAAUAACUGACAAUGAUAACAGCCAAUGAGAGGUGCUGUUAUUGAUGUGUGCGCAUGUGUGUCAAUAAAGUUUUUUUCCCGUUUGAACAAGA